rnacentral:lncRNA from 1 species
GUUCCAGGAGCCCACACAGUCGGCCUAGCACGCUGCACAAACUUCCGGGAUCACAUCUACAACGACACAAACAUUGAUGCUGGCUUCGCCAGGAGCCGCCAGACAGGCUGCCCUCGCGCUACCAGCUCAGGGGACAACAACCUGGCGCCGCUAGACCUCCAGACCCCGACUGUCUUCGAGAACGACUACUACAAAAACCUCGUUCAGAAGAGGGGCCUCCUGCACUCAGACCAGGAGCUCUUCAACGGUGGUGGUGCCGACGCGCUAGUCCGGGAGUAUGUCGGUAGCCAGAGCGCCUUCUUCAAGGACUUUGUGGAGGGAAUGAUUAAGAUGGGGGACAUCACGCCGCUGACGGGAUCCAACGGGCAGAUCAGGAUGAACUGCAGGAGGAUCAACUAAUUAUAAGAUUGUUCUCCACAUUUCGCAGCAACAAUCCGAUGUUGUUACCAUGCUUGAAUUCAUGAUGAUUUGCCCCUUUUCACUUAAACUCCUUUGUUUCCUAUUCUUUUAAGGAUAAAAGGUUAAAAUAUAUUACAAUACUGCCCUUUUGUGUCAUGUUCAUGGAAGAACUGAAUAUGGAUGCACUGACGAAAGAACAAAGAGCAAAGUGAGAUAUGGAAAAUCAACAAUUUCAAUGUAUGGAGUGGCAAAUACUGAAAUUAUUAAGUAAAGAGGGGCUAAAGAUCAAAUCCCACAUGCUUGGAACUCAAGUUAUGAUCAACUCUGGUAAAGUCCCCACCACACACUACCGACAAAGAACCCAUGGUUCCCUCCCUCCGCCCGCCACUUAUAAAGAUAUCACUUGGAAAAUAAAAACACUUGGCACAAAUCAUGUAGAACAUGACACCAACAAAUAAAGUAUGAUAUGCAACAGAGUUUAAGCAUGAUAUCGCACAAAGAACAGAGUUUACAAGACAUACACGAGAUUAUAAGUAAAGACGCAAGUCUUAUAACACAGACCACACGUUUUGUCAUCCAUUGGCAUCAAAGACAUCAAAAUGUGAGAAAAGUUAACUGCACAGUCCACUGAACUAUGCACUGGCAGAAGAAGGGGACCUCUCUUCAUCUUAUGACCUCCAGUAACUUCUCAGUCUUCAUGUGCUACAUAGGCAGUUGGGAAUGUCCAUUUAUCUUCCAUAUUUAAAUAUCUAGCUUUCACUAACACAUUUCUCUUAACAUGCAAGCAUGUCAUCUCAGCAAGCAACAUGCAUGAGAAAAUGCCCACCUCAACAUACAAUCAUGCAUAGGAGAAAACUCAACUCAACAUGCAAACAUGCAUUAAUUUUUAUUUCAUUAGGUUAUUUAUAUUUAAUAAAUAUUUUAACUAUACAAUAAUCAUUAGAAAAUAUAUUUAUUUUUAGUUAUAGUUCUCAUAUUAUUACUGUAAUCAUGCAUAGGAAAAGGUCCAUAUCAACAUGCAAACAUGCAUGACAAUUCCAUUCUAUUAUGCUAUUUAUAUUUUACAAAUAUGUUACAACUAUACAACAAUCAAACACAAUCAAAUAUUACUCCAAAUAUAAUGUUUCAUACAAUCAAAUAUCAUUGAAUUAUAUUGCAAAAUAUUUCCACAACAACGUGCGAGGUUAUCUAGUUUUAAGAAAUAGAAAGGAGCUCAAUUGCUAAAAGUGACUAAUUCAUUCCCAGUCUGCUAAGAAAGUUACGCAUCAACCAAAUUGGAACUCAGGUUAUGACCAAUCUGAUACUUUGUACCCGAAUAUGUGUUUCUCAAUGCGGAUCCCCAAAUCUAUAGAAGAUUUAACUCGCCAAAUUUGACUUGUGAAAAAGCUAAUUCGUAUAGUAAAUAAAAACAGAGAUAUUAUAUUUAUCUUCCAUGCAGAUAAUAUUAGUCAUCGGCCUAGAUCUUGUAGAGCUUAGACUCUAGAGUUGAAGUCAACUUUAUUUCUCCCAACUAACUGCCUGUUUGUCUUAUUAAUUGUCUCCUUUGACACGGCCAUGCCCCACAUGCUACUAGCAAGCUACGUGUACAAUCAAGUAAAUAAAACAGACUUAUGCAUUGUCACAAACAAUAAGUCACAAAUUCUCCCCACAUGCAUUUAGUAUAUACACAGUGUUUGUGGACAUGAUUUUGUUUUUUCAAGCACAAAUAGUAUGUGUACAUGCAGCUCCGGAGCAACCGAGAAAUUGUUAGGUGGACAAGAACACAACACAAAAUAUUACCCUCAAUCGUCAAGUCUUGCAAGAUAAUUGUUGAUGUGGAGAACAGGGACAAAGCCAGGAUUUUACAUUGAGGAGGGCAAGUAAGAUUGGCUUGGUAUUAUGAGUCUAAUCAGGGUUCUGGAAGUGGUAAAAUAUCAUGAACAUGGUGUUCUAAUGAGUGGUGACAACAACACAAAAAAUGAGUAGUAAUAUGAAGGAAAUUUGAAUGUUGGGCAUGGCUUAGUCCCUACUCGUCCCCGAAGUGCCCCCGUCCCUGGUGGACAGAAUGAGAGAGACAAUGAGAGCCGGAACUUACGAGUAAUAUAAUCUAAAGAGUCGAGACACCCAACCUACUCUAUGAGUUAGUUUGUUCGUUUGACUCAAGAUGAUAGUAGACCAACAGUCAACGAUCGAUUCUAACGUUAUGAUGUUCAAGAUGGUUUUUUUUAUUUUUAGGGUGUGUUUGGUUUGAGGAAUACCACGGAUGAUUUGGGGUUAUCCUUGUUUUUUGGCUCAUAGGGUUGUUUGGUGAACACUUGUCACGCAUAGACUCAACAGUUUUGUUUCAAAAAAGGAAAAGAGAUAGACUCAUUUUUUUUAAAUGCACAUCACUUCAUUAAGAGAGAAAGAUAAUUUGAUUACAAGAGGGUUGCAUAAGAGUUCUACAGACCCUAACGGCACAACACCACAUCCACAUAUACAAAAUGAACAUGCUGACUACUCCCUAUCACCCACACUUCUAAGGAAGAAGAGAUAGAAGGUCGGUAUGUGUGAAAACUGCCCCUGCCUCGUCCACACAGGCAACACAGGAGGCGAUCGUGUUCCAAGUUUUAUGGUCCUCCCCAUCCGACCUUCCUCCCUGCGUCGCUACCAGAUGUUGCCGUCGGGCAAAGCCUAAGCAGCCAAUGGUGGUGGCGGGCCCGUAGGUGGUUCCAUGACUGUCAUCAAUCCUUGGCAGCGACUCAUAGAAAACAAUAGUACUCCCUCUGUUCACUUAUAUAAGACGUUUUAGUAAAUUCAGACAGUGUACUAAACAGUUCAAACUCAGCUGUCUGAAACGCCUUAUAAAAACGAACGGAGGGAGUAGUGAAAAAUAGCACCGGCAAGGAAACGAUCUGGGAGCAACAUCAAUGCUCGGCAUAGGUCCUACAAAUCACGCAUUAGUGGCAAGAAGCGCAUUGGCAUGGAAACGAUCCGGGAUCACCGGUAGCGGUGCGUUGCACUUAGUUGUGGUUGUAUGUAUCGCGCGUCAACAACAUCAAGGAACCUUUUGUUUUGUGCUCAUGGAGUAGUUGUGGCUAAGCGGGUCCCGGAGGCAGUACGCAGUCAUGGCUUGUUGGUGGCCACCGGUUGCGGGCGGCAUGACAAUCCGGAAGGCGGUGGUCGCGCCACUGCAAUGGUUGGCGGUAGACGGUCCCCACAUCCAGCCCAUGGGUUGCUCCUCUUAUGUGUUGUCAUAGUGGUAAGGUUUGGUCUCAUUGGCAAUGUGCAUAGCCAUGGUGGAUGGCAGGUGUGGCCUCUCGACUGUCGUCAUUGCCCUCCUCCACCCAGCCGUCCGGUGCGACUCCAAGUUUCUCGACGCUGGAUCUUGGCGGUAUGACAACAUCCAGCGACAAGAUAGAGCGGCAGGUCUAGACAACUGCCAUCUACAUCCCCAUGAAGCAAUCUUCCACUCAGUAACGCAUGUGUUAUGUGGUCUUGGGUUGCUAGCAAGGGUGGCGACACGUGGUAGUGUUGUCUCCUACAUAUCUACCAUCAACUAUCACUAGCGAGAUCGAUCCAACAUUGGCAAGUCAUCCUAAACUGGGAUUUUGGCGGUGCCGAUGACCUUCCGCGCUCACAAAUGAUUUCUUUGAUCCCACUGAGGACCGUGCAUGCAUGUAACUGCUCAGAUUGUGGAAAGUGGAGGGGUCAACGCAAGAUGACUUUGAUUUGGUGGUACUUCUCGAGUACCCGGUCUCGAGCUCUGGGGUGAAAACCCUAGGUCUGAUCCUAGUUGGUCAUACCUGGCAAUGGCAGUGUUUGACGUCAUUGCCUUCUUGUAGGCAUGGUUUGAAGUUUGCUCAGACUUGAUCUUCAGGGUUAAAACCCAUGAUCUGUCCUUCAGGUUAGAUUCCACGACAGCGGAGCUUGAGCAGCAUUGCUACUGAAGAACCUUUCUCGUCGUCCUUGAUGUCAAGAGACCAUAGAUGAUGUGGAUGGUCAUUUCACUAGUAUCAUUUUUUGAUCGCUUGAGAGUUUUCUUUCCUUUAUCUUCAUCUGCCUAGGCAUAGCUUCAGUCUUCGAUGUGUGUGUGUGUGCGCGCGCGCGCGCGUGAAUUGAUGUUGAUUAUGUGCAUUAUAGUCAUGCAGAAGUUGGAUGUGUACUCAUUGUGUUUAUCCUUUUAAUAUUUUAUUUUAAAUCUAUGAAGCCCACCCUUUAUUAUUGACAAAAAUCAUAUACACAGUUCUGCUGGCCGACUCAAUCAAUUCAUGUAGAGUCAUCACAACACAAUGUGUUUCUUAUCCCUUCAACAAAACCAAGGUCAUCCCACUCAGUCAAACAAGGAAUUUGUUUGUUCCAUCUAUAAAAAAUAGUAGAUCACUGGAUGGCCGCCCUGACCUAUCAACCCCUUGCUCUGUGACCAAAACGGACCCUAGAUACAUUUCACAUCCUGAUUUAAUAAGAAAACGUUUACCAAGAUUAUCUUUUACUAGCGCCGUCAUCUGCUUAUUUUGACCGAAGCAACCGUUACCUGCUCCGAGGAGUAAGUUCUGUCUUCCACAAAAUAUAUCAUUACCUAGUUAGUACUCCCCCCGUUCCUAAAUAUAAGUCUUUGUAGAGAUUCCACUAUGGACUACAUACGAAGCAAAAUGAGUGGAUCUACACCGUAAAAUAUGUCUAUAUACAUCUGUAUGUAUUUUUUUUGAACUUAAAAGGUAGAGCAUUUUCUACCUUAUGUAUUCAAAACGGGCUGAGGAACCCGGAUGACCAAAGUCAUUUACAUGAAUGUGAUGUUAACGUCGUACAACAGAGUACAGCAGGCCGUCACCAAACCUAAGCAGAUACAGCAUUGAUAAGAAAGGGGAGUUAACUGGUAGCAAAAGCGUUUGCCCACACCAACAUAGCUUGCUUCGAGAGCUGUGGGGCACGCAGGCUCCAUAACUGGAUCAGCUCGGUGAGACGAUUGUAUACUUGCCGCUGUUGCCAAAAGCAUCUGUCGAAGACUCGAGCGUUCCUGGCGUCCCAAAGAGUAACCGCACACGCCGCGAAGAAGAUAUGCCAGAGCUUGCCAUGCCUUGCCCUUGGUUGGUCAGAGCACAAAAAGGAUUCAAGCUCCACCUUGGAAGUGGCCAACUCUUGCAAUCCUAAUUUGGACCAUAACGGUUGUGCAAGUUUGCAUCUCAGCAGAAUAUGGUUCAUUGUCUCUGCAGCUGGGCAAAGGUCACAACCGUUGUGUGAAGUAAUCUUAUCCCAGUGUUUCUUUACCAUGUUAUCCUUGGUGUUAUGCCUGUCACGGAGGGCAAGCCACAGGAAGAUACGAUACUUGUGCGGUAUGGUUCUGUCCCAGAUGAGGCUGGCUGGCGUGUACAGCGUACCUCGAAAAACUAGCAGCUUGUAGAAAUAGGCGGUGCUCAAGCUCCUGUCAGCAAGCAGAGGCAUUCUGGUAUCAACUGCAUUAUCUUGGGGCUGCACGUUGCUCAAAAUGGCAUGAAGGGAUUCUAACUCUUGUGCGGUCAUGAAAGAUAAAUUUUGAUGAAGCUGAAGGCUCCACUAACCAUCUUUGAACUGCGAAGCAACCGUGCAAAACUUGGCGAUAGAGAAACUAAAGAGCGUCGGGAAAACAGUCAUAAGCCGACCACAAUCCAACCAGUGAUCGUACCAGAAUGCAAUGUAUUGGCCGCUCCCGAGAAUGCAUCUGGAGGCUUCCAUAACCAGCUGCAUGGUAGCUCGAAAACCUUUCCACAUAGCUGUGUCUCGAUUGUGAGGUUUCCAGGACAAAUCCUUCUGACAAUAGGUCUGCGCAAACCAACUGUAACACGGGGUCUCCCCAUGCUGUAGUACUUUUGCCAUAAACUUGCAUAUCAAGGCUUUGUUGUGAGCUGCUAGGUUACGAACCCCCAGCCCUCCAUUCUCCUUUGGCAUCGUGACCACUUCCCAGGCUACCAGACACUGCCCCCCUUUGGCCGUAUUUUUGCCUUGCCAAAGAAAACCCCUCAAAAUUUGGUCUACUUUCUCCAAAGACUGACUUGGCCAUAAGAAGCAGCCCAUGUAGUAGCUAGGGAUCGCUGCGAGAACAACAUUGAUCAAGGUGAGACGCCCUCCCCAGGACAAGAAGGUUGCAAACCAACCAGACAAGCGCUUGUCCACCUUUUGAAUCACAGGUAUCAACAAACCAUGGUGUAUCUUGCCAAGAGAAAGAGGUAACCCCAGGUAGGUGCAAGGGAAGGCUGCAAUCUGGUAGUUGAGCACAGUAGCGAUAUCCUGGGAAGUUUGCUGAUCUAUACCAAUGGGAACAAAGGUACUCUUGUGAUAGUUUGUUUUGAGACCAGAGAAGUUGCUGAAGUCAUCUAGAAUCCGCUUGAUAACAGCCGCUUGUUGGGUGUCUCCUCUUAACAAGAUCAUCGUGUCAUCCGCGUAUUGCAGAAUUGGAAAAGGCCCGUCUGCUCCCAAGGGGUGCACAAGGUUCCCCUGCUGAUGCUCCCUUUUACAGAGCUGUUGGAGAACAUCCGCUACCAGAAUGAAAAGGUACGGGGACAGGGCGUCUCCCUGGCGUAGCCCACACUUGGAUAGGAUCUGCUCGCCUGGGCUUCCAUUGACAAUGAUUCUGGAGGAGCUAGUUGUAAGAAUAGCAUCCACCCACUUGAUCCAUCUCUCCCCGAAACCCCUUGCCGCGAGGAUUUUUUUCAGGGCCUCCCAGCUAACACUAUCAAAAGCUUUAGCAGAACCAUUGGGACUUUCCGCUUCCUUGCUUCUUGUACUAACUCGGCUGCCAACGCAAAGUUCUCAAUGAUACAACGCCCUCGUAGAAAGCCAGACUGGAGAGGGUGGAUGAGGUUGUGGAUCAGUCGCUGCAAACGCACGGUCAUCACCUUGGUGGCAAGCUUCGGUAUGCUAUGGACUAGAGAAAUGGGCCUGAAAUCCUUGAUGUCCGUUGGAUUUUCUUUUUUUGGAAUCAGCACAACGUUUGCAGUGUUGAUGCCAAGUAGGUUGCUGCCAUGCUCAUAAAACUCCUGAAAAAACCUCAACAGAUCCUCUCUCAACAGCCGUUGGAAGUUUUUGUAAAACUCAUUUGUGAAACCAUCCGGCCUCGGGCUUCUGUUGUUCGGUGCGUUGUUGACGGCUGUUGCAAUUUCAGCCCAGGAGAAAGGCACCUCCAAAGCAGAUAAGUCAGCUGGUUCGUAAAGGUGGGAGGGGUCCAGUACUGGUACUAAAGGUGAGCUUUCUCCAAAAAUAUGAGUGAAGAAAUCAGUUGCAAUCUGUAGCUUGUCCUGAUCACUGUAGAAUUCUGUGCCAUCCUUGACCAAGAGCUUGAUUUUGUUCUUGCGGUGUUGGCAGUUUGCCACCGCAUGGAAAAACCUGGUGUUCUCAUCCCCCAGGGUACAACCCCUUAUCUUUCCUCUUCUCCUCCAGAAACUGUUCUGCCAUAGGAUCAGCUGUUGAGCCUUCAAAUUGGCAUGCUUUCUGAGGGCAAUCUCCAUCCUCGAGAGGUCUUUUUUCCUCUACUGCGUCCAUGUAUUGGACAACAUGCUUGCAGCUUGCUAAGAUGUUCUGCAUUGGCGGUUUGGUGCGUUCCCAGGCUCUGAUUGCGGCCCUCAACCUUCUAAGCUUGAAAUUAAUCAAGGUUGAGACAGAGGCAAGAUCUCUGGUUCCCUUCUCCCAGCUGUGGCUGAUAAUGUCUCUGAGCUCCGGUACUUGCAGCCAGUGGUUUUCAAACCUGAAAAAAGGACUUUUAACAACUUCCUUUGAGAACUCUACACCAAUGAGCACAUGAUCCGAGGUCGUGGCAGGCAGAGCAGCAGCUGUAGUGUUGAGGAAGCCCAGGUUCCACUCGUAGUGGAAUCUCUCAAAAGACUUAUAUUUAGGAACAGAGAAAGUACAAAGUUAGGUCAUCUAUUUUGGAAUGGAUGGAGUAUGUAUAUGUGUUGAAAUAAUGCUCCUGAAAACAACAAGCACGUACGUACAACCAAAAGAAACGACACACAAUGAUCGAUAGUCAACAGACAAAUUGUUGCAGCGAGCUAACCCAGAUGUUGUCGUUGAAGUUUCAUAAUGGCAAGUUUGUGGUCAGAGAAGUGCAGCUGCUGCCUCAGCAUUUUGGUAGUACUUUGAUGAGAGCAGAGUUUCUACUGGAUGGGAGUUGGAACUCUGUUGCGAAAGCUGGUCUUCGACAGUGGACCCGUUCUGCUACAUAUGCACGACUAGUGGUCUGAUGAUGUACUCCAUGGCUUUUCUCGAGGGGGCAUGCGCAUGUGCAGCAUUUUGGUGUGCCAAACCUCCGGCGAUUGCGGUGCGGUCGGAUCCAAAAGUCGCUAUUUGCAUCUAGCUACCGGCAUUGAAUUUCUUUUGACUAGAGUCUGGAGUACUUCGAAAGUUCUAACCCGUAAAGCACCAGAACAGAACAACCAGCAUCUACUAAGAAAUAGAGUUAAUAAAUGGUACAACUAUGAACACGAAACACUAAAAUCAAAAGGUUAAGGCUCAACUAAUUAACUAAGUGGGUGUAUGAUUGGUGCCCAAAAGGUAUUAUACUCCACUUUGACUAAACAUAAUACUGUCAGGCGCAGGAGCAGUACUAGGAAUUAGACUUCUCCUACUUCUUCAGUAAAAAGUGAAGAAGGUAACGACAACAUCCGAUGCCCUGAAUGUGGCGGUCAGGUGAUCACCUGGAUUGCUCAGGGCAGUGACAACGCCGGCGGCCGCUUUUACAAGUGCGCCAGGAAAGAUGUAAGAUAUUUCUCUAGUCUGAUCUAGAUUCAUAUUUCAGCGGUCUCGUACUCAGUAGACCCAGAUCUGCAUUUGUUGGUGUUGGAAGGUCUUCGUGGAUACAUCAGAUCGAACCGGACGUACAGCGUUCAAAAUUACCCAGCUCCCUCUCCUCGUCGUCAGGCAUUACAUAUCCGCAACAGGGUUCAGUCGCAGCAGGCAGCGGACCAGGUCACUGUUGUGCUCGGCAACGCUCACAGUGCCCCGUUGCAGAUGCAGAAUAAUCACCCGGCGCCGGCGAUGUGUGCCUGCCAAUCACUCUCGCUGCUGCUCAGAGAUGCCAAACCGAACCAACUCUGCUCAAAUUUAAAUUUUGAAGCAAACAGAGGCAAAGUUUGUACACGUAGCCGUAAACAUGUACUCCAGCUUGACAUGUGUUCACAAAUUCAGGAUGCAUGACAUGUUUUUACUUUUUACAAAGAUUUAGAAUGCAAUCGUACAUCUCUGAAACAAAUUCAGAAGGCAUGACAUGUGUUCACAAAAAUUCAGUAAUGAAGGCACGUUCCCCGUCAUGGAAAUUCCAGAAUGCAUGGACAAACUGUAAAAAAAAAAAAUCAGAAGUACAGACACGAUCAUACUGCUCACAGUUUCAGAAUGCAUCACCACAUUGUAAAAAACUUCAGAAAUCAACAAUUACUUGGUGCGAGCACUCGUACUCCAACAUCGAGACUAGUUUAAACAUACAUUAUUCUUGUUCGGCUGUUCCAUUUGUUUAUUUAUUUAUUUAUUUAUUUUGCCAUCCAUAAACUCAGCAACCAUGAAACAAGAAGCACUUCUACUGACGGAACUACCUAAGUUCUACAGAUUUCAGUUCUACAGUUUUACAGUCUCAACCGAUAGGUUCCAGCCAUUGUUCACAUGCCAGUCAACCGCAGAUCACCCAUUUUGUGGCAGUUGUUUUGCCCAUGACCUUCAAUUCCACAAUUUUUGCACCUUGCCGGUUUGUGAACAGGUUUCGGGGUAUCACCUCGCUCCGGACAUGUUGUCCUCUUGUGCCCCUGCCCGCGACAUAUGGUGCAGAACCGCGUUCGUUUGCUCAGCUCCUCGUACGGAGCCUUCUCUCUGCUAGCUGUUGGUCGUCCUAUUUCUUUCCGCUUCUUUGGCGCCAACAGUCCAUUGGGUCUGUUCCCACUUGUGUCUUAUUUCAUAAAGUUGGGUCAUGUAGUCAUGCAUCUUUAAAUUAUAUUUGUCAACCAAUGUCUCUGAAGAAUGUGUGCUGCAACCUACUUCUCCCAUUUGCCCACAUAAGAGUGGUUAUCCGACCAUCUUUGCCUGCCUGGACUCGGUAAGUGAAAUGCGAAUCUCUUGAAGCCGGAUCUGCGAAAACCUCCAUAGUUUUCCUAACAUCAUCCUCUGCCUGCUCUCUGCUGAUUUUACCACACAAAUUCUUGAGAGCUCUUUUUGUGAAAGGUACCUUUUCCAUUGAGCCAAAAAAAACUCCCAAUGAUGUUGUGUACUUUUGCCACGUUCACAUUGUUCUAUAGCAAAUGCUCCACCAAGUCUCUGUUGUUGGCAUCAAUAUGCUGAGCCAGUGUAUUGUCUGACCAUACGUUGGAGACAAUGAAUGAUUGAGAUGUUCAGAUGCUCCCCUAUGUACCAUCCAUUGUCCUUCGAUCGGAGGAGUCUUGUUAAUGUAGGACACUCGCACCGACACGAUCUAGUGUUCUCCACCCCAGCUUUACCCUGCAAAAACCAAAGUGUACGCAACACAAACGUCUUAGGUUUCAUCAGCAGCAAAGAAAGCAGAUCGGAUUAAUAGACAUUAGUACAGGAAGGGUUCAUAUGCAUACCGCACAUCCACAAACAAUUUCUCUCCACAUUCAGUCUACUGUUCCCACCUUAUUCCUAAACCCUUCUCCCACGAGUAGAGAUUGUAGAAAUCAUAUGCCUCCCCGAGGGUAUCGAAGCUUGUACCAAGUGCUGGAACAAUUACAAUGUUCCCAGGUUGAUCAGCGCACCCCGUGUUGCCUUUUCAAGGGCGCUUGUUCGCCCAGGGCAAGGUGCCCUUCCUGGGGCAUCGGCUCCAAUUCUAACCCUGCAUUUUUGAUAAAUCCAUGUGUGACUGCAUGUUUUUCAUCCUAAUUCAAAAAACUUGACCCUUUUUAUGAUUACAUUCAUAUGUUUCAACAUUCUCAAUGACAAUUACUUUUGCUUCUUCAGGUGUCCUCUUCCCUGUUAUUAUAUCUCAAUUCCAUCAGUAAAUCAGAAGCUUCAAAACUGAACUUUUUUUAUUCUUAUCAGCUCAUAUUGGAACCAAUUUUCGACAUAACUAAUCAACGCUAUCAACCUUUUUUUUUGAAUCCACGUCGUGCUUCCAGCUACUGCAAUGGUUAUCUAUUUUGCAUGGCUUAGCACCCUAUAUGCAACUCAGUUAAUCCAAAAUUCAGACAUUGCAAGUUGGACAAACACUGCACAAGCAGAAUGACUAAUUCGAUCAGAAUCAAGUUAGUAAAAUCUAUGUUUCAGCCCAAUUUUCCAUCUAUUCCCUGGCUUCAUAAUCCAGUGCACAUGAAACAUCCUGCCAUUAGGAUGCUUUCUUCUUUUAUCAAAUGGUUCUGCUAGUAUGUGAACCACUCGAAAGCACGGCAGUACACCAUCUUUUCAAAAAAUAUGUAAAUGUACAUUCCAAUUUAUCCAGGAACAACCUACUAGAAAAUCUGAAUCUAAAUUGCCCUGCACAAAUGUGCAGCCUAUAUGCAAGUCAGGUCAUGUCAUUUGCAAUGCACCUAAAAUCAGUCAAACAGCCUGUACCGCAAGCACCAUUGUUCAGAUAAAUUACCUGCAAGUCCAGCCUGGUGUUUUCGGAUCAAUCUGUGCAAUAGAUUGCUCAGAUUCUUGCGGUUCAGCAUCCCCCUCGCCUGCGACUCCCAUGGUCAGAGAAUACCAUAUGCUACUGCGUAGUUCCAACGGGUAGACGUCUGUAUGUCCUCCAAACGAUCCCCCUCGCCCCCGGCCAGACGUCUGUAUGUCCUCCAAACUUGAAAAAACUAUUAGACUAGUCACAACGGGUAGUAACUUAGACUAGUAACAUGUAUGUGUUACUAGUAACAUGCAUGUGUUAUUAGUCUAUGUCACUACCUUUAUAGGGGAGAGUAACAUAUGUAUGACACCAUGCAACAUUUUAUUUAUUAGAUUGUAGAUUCAUCUUGUCAUGGUAUAUAUGAUGUUACAGUAACUAGCUAUAUUAUCACAUGUCUCUUUUUUCUCAUAUAAUUACUCGUCACAUCAUUUGUUUUGCCUAGAGACAUGUGAUGUUACCAUAUAUAUUGCUCCCACUGUGGAUAGCCUUAUGAGAAAAAUCAUCAGGCAGGGGAAGGUAGGAUAGUCGAAUCAUCAUCUCGUUCAUGAUCAUGUACCGGUAGGCAGUAGGUACAUACCGAUCGAGACUAGGCUAACCAUGAAAUUUGUUGGGUAGGAAAACGGUGAUGCAAAAAUUAAUUAAGAAAAUCAUCACCGUGCUAAUGUACUCUUCCUUUGCCAAAGUGUCGCCUUAAAGUCCAUGCGAGUGUUACAUUAGCACGUUGAUGAUUUUCUUGAUUAAAUUUGACCCAGAGAACUAUGUAGAUUAGUACUGUAGCUAGCAAACACCGUCCGUAGCACAGGAAAGCAACAUGAGGAGACGGAGUCACGGAGCCAUGCUCUCACAUGAAUGCAAGCAUAAUUAACAUGGCUCUUUGCUUAGCCGUGUCGAUGGUGUGUCGGCAUGCAGCUUUUUCUACUACCUCCGUCUCGGUGAAUAAGUCAUUCGCGUAGUUCUAGGUUGACGAUUUAACUAUCUAAAUAUGUAUUCUUUGUGACAAAAAACAUAUGUUUAGAAAUUACAUCCUUGUAGAAAUCUAGUGAUAUACUUUUCAUGACAUAUAACACAUAUUUAAUUUUUCAAAUCGAUGACCUAAAACUACGUGAAUGACUUAUUCACCUAGACGGAGGUAGUACCAAAACUGUUCAUUUUUCACGAGCUACGUAACAGAGAGCACAGUGUCGGCAUUGAAUUUCUUUUGACUAGAAUCUGGAGUACUUCGAAAGUUCUAACCCGUAAAGCACCAGAACAGAACAGCAAGCAUCUACUAAGAAAUAGAGUUAAUAAACGGUACAACUGUGAACACGGAACACUCAAAUCAAAAGGUUAAGGCUCAAGCUAAUUAACUAAGUGGGUGUAUGAUUGGUGCCUAAAAGGUAUUAUGCUCCACUUUGACAAACAUAAUACUGUUAGGCGCAGAGUAGUACUAGGAAUAAGACCUCUCCUUUCAGUAAAAAGUGAAGGUAAGAGCAUCUCCACUAGAGCCCCCACGAUGCCCCCAUUUUGGGCGCUGGCAGUAAAAUAUCCUCCCACUCGUGUCCCAAAGCCUCACUUUUCGUCGGAUUUAGAAAAAAUUGACGCCGGCAGUCCCACCCCAAACCCAGCCCCCUCGGGAGCAGCUGGGCGUGUCGGCGAUGCCUUUUUCUUGCGGUUGGCCCACCAUCGGCCUCCCACAACCUCUCUCCUCUCUUUUCUUCUCUCCUCUCCCCUGCCCCUCUCUCUCGAGCGCGGAGUGCGUCAGCGCGAGGCGGAGCGGCGCUGGAGGAGUCCGGCGUCCAGCUCGGGCGCGCGUGUUCGGCGUCCGGCGUGCUCGAGGCGAAGGCCAGCCCCGAAUCCCUCUCCAGCGCCUCGUAGUCAUCCGGGAAGGCAGCCGGCAAGCCAGCGGCAGGGCAAGCUCGGGCGAGGACGAGCGGGGCCGCGUGCGAGGCAACGCGGCGUGGGGGCGGGUAGCGGGAGGUGCGGGGAUCUGGCGACGAAGGACCGGGGCGUAGCCGGCCGGCCCGGGAUGAGGCGGGCGCGUCGGCGGAGCCGCCUGCCGACCACGGAGCAGCAGCCGGCUCGGGAGCAGGGCCGGACGCGGGCGCAAGCGGAGCGAGACGGGGUGGCUGGGUGUCGGGGGCUCGGGCGGAGGCCGGGCCAGUGCAAAGACGGCCGAGGCGUGGGCAGAGCCGGCCGGCGCAGGAGCGGAGGCCGACCGGGGGGGAGGGGGGCAGACCUGCGCGGAUGCUGGCGCGGGACGAAGCGACCACAACGAAGCGGGCGCGCCGAUGCCGAGGCCGAAGAUACAGGGCGCGCGAUGAAGAAGCGAAGCGAGCGGUCGGAGAAUGCUCGAGGUGACGGGCCGACGCGAAGGGCCGUCGUCCGGCUGUCGGACGGCAGCAUUCACGUGGACGCCACCGGUGUGGCUGGCCGUUUGUGCUCAAACGAGCCAUGCUAGCUAGCUAGCAAGCGCGCACUCAGCCGAAUCGAUUGGCUCUCCUCUGCUAGCUAGCUAGCUGGGUACGAGUACUUGUAUGCAUAGGGACGGAGGUGGCCAGCGAACCCUCGUGUGGAGGAGUGAGCUCGGCGGCGAGGCCGGGCUAGCCGUGGCCUAGGGCGGGCGCGGCCUGGGCACGGCUUGGGGGUGAACACGGCUGGAAACAUUUUCACCCCCAGGCCAAAUUGCCGGCAGCCCCACAAACGGCGAAAGAAAUGCCUCCUUAGAGGCUCAACGGCUGGAGAUGCUCUAAGUGGUGGUGCCUGAGGCAAGUGACCGGCAUAUGUUCUGUCAUCUUUUUAGUUUUGUCAUGAUGGUCUUUACUUGACUUGUACUUUAAUUUUUUAUGAUAUUUUUUUAAAUGCGUCAAAAAGAUCUUUAUGAUAUAAACGAGACACAUAUUAUACCAUAUAAUGCCAAAAAAGGGUAAGAGUAAUAUGCGGUACUACACUGUCAGCGGAUAGAUCUUUUUCACAUUAGGACCUACUCUACGUACAGGGCCAUGCUAUAGAAUUUGCUAAUGCACGUACGUAUAUGCUACCUUGAGGAGAUAAUUCAGGUUGAAUUGUCCAUGCUAAGAUAUAGAUAUAUAAAUGUUUUGACCAUGACCGCCAUGCAUCAUACGUGCCUCCAGUUUCUUUCUCUCUCUCUUUCUUUUCUUUUCUUUUUUGCGAAAUGUGCCUCCAUGGGCCAAGUAGUACCGCCGGUGACCCUUCAACAAAGUCGAACACUACGACUGGGUGGGCCGAGCUGGGAGGUGAAGAUGGGGCGGAGGGACUCGACGACGGCGAGCUUCAACGGCGCCGAGAACAACAUCCCUCCCCCGACAUCAGGGCUCGCGAACCUUACGUCCCUCUUCGCGGCGCAGGGGCUCUCCCAGAAAGACAUGGUCGGACUCUCAGGUAGUAUAAUUUUCCAGUUUGCACUCUAAACCAACAUAAUUUGUCAUGGCCAAGUAUACCUCGGUUCUAGUUUAUUGGUCUUCAUAGUAUUUUGUGUCAAAUUUUGAUUAUGAAUUUAACUAACAAAAUGUUAAUGCAUGUGAUAAAAUAUUAUACUGUUGGAUUCGUAUUUGAACAUACUUUUUAAUGAUACAAUUUUUUGUCAUGUACAUUGACAUUUUGUUAGUUAAAUCUGUGGUCAAAAUUUAACAUUAAAUAUGAAGGAGACCAAUAAACCAAGACGGAGGUAGUAAUAUUUUCCUUCAAUUUGCUGAAGAAGCAAGUUAUAACUUUCUAGCAGUAGAACAGCUGGUAUCAACCAACGGAACUGAUAGCCACGUUUUGACUUCAAAGCUCAGAAUUCUACAUAAGACAAUUUCUCUGGAUUAAACAAAUAUACUACUUUACAGGUGAUGAGCUAGAAAGCUGAUCGAUGACUACUUACCACUGACCUAACCUUUGGUCUGUCCGCUUAAUUUGUAAGACUGGACAACGUCAAAAAACAUUGUUCCUUGAUCACUUAAACACGUAGUGCUAGUUAGGAAAGUUGGCGAAUGAUUCCUACCGAUCAAUGGAUUGACAAAAGAGUAGCUGCAAAACAGGUAAUAACUUGAGCUGACGGUAUAACUUGUGUUUCAGGAGCCCACACAAUCGGCCUAGCACGCUGCACAAACUUCCGGGACCACAUCUACAAUGACACAAACAUCGACGCCGGCUUCGCCAAGAGUCGCCAGUCAGGCUGCCCUCGCGCCACCGGCUCCGGCGACAACAACUUGGCGCCGCUAGACAUGCAAACCCCGACCGUCUUCGAGAACGACUACUACAAGAACCUUGUCCAGAAGAGAGGCCUACUGCACUUGGACCAGGAGCUCUUCAAUGGCGGUGCUACCGACGCGCUGGUCCGGGUUACGUCGGUAGCCAGAGCGCCUUCUUCAAGGACUUUGUGGAGGGAAUGAUCAAGAUGGCAUUGGCGCCUUCGUCUUCAGUCGGCGCGGUCAGGGCGGCGACCCUGGUGUGCGGCAGCAGCUGUUUCCCCCAUGGCCGGUGGUUUGAGUCGUUGGCUUGCCUGGCCGGGUGUUGGGUGGCGGCGGUUGUUGCGGAUCUGGCGUCCCGGCCAGAUACGUCGUGGUUCAGCUAUGGCCGGCCGGCGACGCGUGGGGGCCGGGGUGAGGCGGCCGGAGGUCCUCAACCGGCUUUCCGAGGACACCAUACGUCUACAUGGCGAGGGUGUGCUCGGAUCCAGUCAGCAGUGAGAUUGUGGUAGCGCUACUUCCGAUGAAAAUCACGCCGACUUCGGUCAUGGCGGACGAUGACGGCGUCUCCGACGCCUUGAGUCAUCAUCGUUGCAAACUACUCAACAUGAUCGGGAUGUUUCGGGGGAAACCCUAGAUCUUGGUCUACCGGAUCGGACGACGACAGCGCCUUCGAUGGCGUGCUCCCUCCUGAGGGCAUCGUUUUGGAACAGGAGCUGGCUGGAGGGGACGAGAAGGAGCGGUGUUUCAUCUACUGCAAGGCCAACGACGUAUCCCGAUGGCAUGGCGCUGCGGAGUUUCGGCGACGGGCGUAUGUGGAUGGACUCGCGCAGGAGGACGACAUUGUCUGGCGUCGUGAUGGCGUCGAUGGCAGAGAGACCUGGCAUGGUAGAUGCAACAGUGCAGCUCUGAAGAUGGAUUGGUGGCAGGUGGUUGCGGCGGCCUCAUACCCGGCAGGCAUCCUGGUUGAGGAGUGCGCCGGACUGGUGGCUACCCCAUACCCGACAGGCGUACUGGUUGGGACCUCAGGUCUUAGAUGUUAGGUUUGGCUACGAGGUCUGUUUGGUAUUAGGCCUAGACUAUCAGCAUCCCUACAUAUCAACUGGAUAGGAGUAGCGACAGAUGUUGCCUAGACAAUGACUUUAGUCUUACUGUUGUUUGACUUUGUAAGGUCUUAUGUGAAUAAUUAAUAAAGUGGCUGCAUGCAUCGUCCAGAUGCAGAGGCCGGGGGUCCUCCUCCAUUUCUAAAAAAAAAAUGCCGCUGACAGGAUCCAAUGGAUAGAUUAGAAUGAACUGCAGGAGGAUGAACUAAGAUUCUCCUCCCCUUUCCACACCAACAAUUCCGGUGUUCUUCCCAUGCUUGAAUUCAUGAUAAUUUUCCCUUUUUCACUUAAACUCAUGUGUUUCCUUUUCUUUUAAGGAUAAAAGGUUAAAAGAUAUUAUAAGACUGCCCCUUUGUGCCAUGUUCACGGAAGAACUGGACAUGGAUGCACUUGCAAAAGAACAAAGUGCAAAGUGAGAUGUGGCAAAUCAAUUUAUAUUUUCAAUGUAUGCAGUGGCAAAUCCUGAAAUUGUCAAGUAAAGAGGGGCUAAAGAUCAAAUGCCACAGUCUUUACCUUCUCGAGGAGUUGAUAAAGUCCCCCAAAUACUACUGACGAUGAGCCCAUAGGUCCCUCCGCCCUCUGCUCGAGACUUAUAAUGAUAUCACUAGGAAAAUAAGAACACAUGGCGCAGAUCAUGCAGAACAUGACACCAACAAAAACAAGUAUGAUAGAUGACAUCACACAAAAGAAAGAGCUUACAAGACAUACAUGAGAAUAUAAAUGAUAUAUAAAUAAAGGCGCACACACACAAUACACACUACUCAGUCCACUAAGCUAUGCACUGGCUGAAGGAGCAGAACUCUCUUCAUCCUAUGGCCCCAGCAGUAACUUCCGAGCCUUCAUUUACAUAGGCAGCUGGGCAUGUCCAUUUAUCUUCUAUAUUUAAUAUCUAACUUUCACUAACCUAUUUUUCUUAGCACGCAAGCAUGGCAUCUCAGUAAGCAACAUGCAUGGGGAAAUGUCCAUCUCAACAUUACAAUCAUGUAUAGGGGAAAGCUCACCUCAACAUGCAAACAUGCAUUUUUUCAUUAUGCUAUUUAUAUUUAAUAAAUAUUUUGGAACUAUACAAUAAUCAUAAAAGUAUGUAUUUUUAGUUUUAGUCCUCAUAUUAUUAUUGAAUCAUGCAUAGGAAAAGGUACAUCUCAACAUGCAAACAUGCAUGCCAAUUCCAUUUCAUUAUGCUGCUUAUAUUUUAUAAAUAUGUUACAACUAUACAAUAACCAAACAAAAUAGAAUAUAUGUAUUUUAGUUCUGGUUCUCAUACUAUUACUCCCAAUAUUUAUGUUUCAUACAAUCAAAUAUCAUUGAAAAAUAUGCAAAAUAUUCCCACAACAACAUGCAAGGUAUCAUAUACUUUUAAGAAGUGGACAGGAGCUCAAUUGACAGAGUGACUAAUUCGUUCCAAAUCUUUUAAGAAAGUUACGCAUCAACUGAAUUGGAACUCAGGUUAUGAUCAUAUGAUACACUGUACCAGCAUAGUGUCUCUCAAUGCGAAUCCCCAAAUAUAUAGAAGAUUUACUUUUGAAAAUUAGCACCAGAUAAGACUACUAUAGUUUCUCUCCUUUUUUUAAGGAGUUGGGUCCAUUAUAAAGGUUCAAUAGAAGUACAAAGCACCCGAAAUUCUAAGAUUAACACUGAGGCCCCUGGACCACUAAACAACCUCUGUCACCCCAAGAACUAGUCGCGGAAGUGUCAUUGUUGCCCUGGGAAUUCCGAUGACAGUGGGAAAGUCUUUGUGCACGUGCCCCUAAGGAUGAACGCUCCAGAGUUGCAAUCGUUGCCAGUGAACCCAUGAGUUGAUCGGAAGCGUCUAAGACCAAAUCCCACCUUCUUGCACACAAAAUGGGAAACCUUAAGGAGAAGAUGGUAUUCUAUGGUAGAGCUCUGUCGACUCCGUCCCUACAGAUGAACUCGGGUGGAUCGGAGCACGGAAGACCAACUCAAAGAUGAAGUGUCACCAUCUGCUAUACGGUCGCCGCUACGAUGAACUUUAAAAAAAAGGCUAACAACACUACUAGUGUGACUGAGGUACAAGGACUCUCCUCCUCACCGCCAACCACCGGAGCGGCGAACAGAGGGGAGGAGAGUCCACAGGCUCGCCAACAAAGACAAGAGGAAGUGAAGCUUCCCCGAAGUUGCCGUCAUGGGAGUGAAAGGAAUAGAUCGGUUUAGUUAACAUAUACGUAAUUUAUCCAAUUGUUGACUAAUCACUCUAGAUUAGUCUAUUUUCUACUAGACAAAUAUAAUCAUCAUGUUCUGACUAAUCAUGUUCAUGUUCUGACUUGUUCCUUUUAGAUCAAUGGAGUGCACAUUCCGACCUAUUGAUCUUACAAACUAUCAUGAUGUGCAUCCCGUAAACGCUCAACUUUAACCAUGGUCUCAAAAUCAUAAAUCUAGUUAUACUCUCUAAUAUAAUACUUCCUAUGUUUUUAUUUACUCUGCAUAUUAACUUUCACCUAAGUCAAAGUUUAUCCAAACUUACACAAAACCAUAUAAACUUUCACAAUAACAAAUGUAUAUGAUGUGAAAAUAUAUUCAAUGAUGAUUCUAAUGGUAUUGGUUUGGUAUUAUCGAUGUUAAGAAAUUUUUGAACUUCGUCAAAAUUUAUGAAAUUGGACUUGACAAAAAGCUAAUAUGUAUGGUAAAUAAAAACAGAGAGAUUACACCACUCCUAGAUCUUGUAGAGCUUAGACUCUAGAGUUGAAGUCAAACUUUAUUUCUCCCAACUAACUGCUCGUUUGUCUUAGUAAUUGUCUCCUUUGACACAACCAAGCCCCACAUGCUACUAGCAAACUAGGUGUACAAUCAAGUAAAUAAAACAGGUUAAUGCAUUGCCACAAAUUCUCCCAACACGCAUUUACUACAUACACGGUGUUGGUGGACGUGAUUUUUUCAAGCACAAAUAGUAUGUGUACAUGCAGUUGUGGAGCAAGAAAGAAACUGUUGGGUGGACUAUAACAGAGCCCACAAAUAUUGCCCUCAAUUGUCGAGUCUUGCUAGUUAAGAUAAUUGUUGAUGUGGAGAGCAGGGACAUAGCAGGAUUUAACAUUGNNNNNNNNNNNNNNNNNNNNNNNNNNNNNNNNNNNNNNNNNNNNNNNNNNNNNNNNNNNNNNNNNNNNNNNNNNNNNNNNNNNNNNNNNNNNNNNNNNNNNNNNNNNNNNNNNNNNNNNNNNNNNNNNNNNNNNNNNNNNNNNNNNNNNNNNNNNNNNNNNNNNNNNNNNNNNNNNNNNNNNNNNNNNNNNNNNNNNNNNNNNNNNNNNNNNNNNNNNNNNNNNNNNNNNNNNNNNNNNNNNNNNNNNNNNNNNNNNNNNNNNNNNNNNNNNNNNNNNNNNNNNNNNNNNNNNNNNNNNNNNNNNNNNNNNNNNNNNNNNNNNNNNNNNNNNNNNNNNNNNNNNNNNNNNNNNNNNNNNNNNNNNNNNNNNNNNNNNNNNNNNNNNNNNNNNNNNNNNNNNNNNNNNNNNNNNNNNNNNNNNNNNNNNNNNNNNNNNNNNNAUGAUCUAAAGAGUUGAGACACCCAACCUACUCUAUGACUUCAUUUGUUGGUUCGGCUCAAGAUGAUAGUGGACGAGCAGUCCACAACCAAUUAUAUCAUUAUGUAUGUUCAAGAUGGUUUUUUCAUUUUUAGGGUGUGUUUGGUUGAAGGAAUACCACAGAUAGUUUGGGGUUAUCCUUGUUUUUUCGGCUCAUCAGGUUGUUUGGUGCACACUUGUCACACAUAGACUCAACAAUUUUAUUAAAAAAGAAAAGAGAUAGUCUUUUUAUGGAUCUCAUUAAGAGAGAAAGAUAAUUUGAUUACAAGAGAGUUACAACGACGGCACCAACACCACAUCCACCUAAAUGAACAUGAUGACUACUCCCUAUCACCCACAAUUCUAAGGAAGAAGAGGAUACAAGGUCGGUUUGUGUGAAAAUUGCCCCUGCAUCGUCCGGAGGAGUGACAUACGAGCCGAUCACGGUCCAAGUUUUAUGGUCUUCGCUGACUGAUCUUCCUCUUCUCGACACUACCAGAUGCUUCCGCCGGGCAAAUCCUAAGCAACCCAUGGUGGCAAUGGGCCCCGGGGUGGUUCCACUGCAUUCAUCCUCGGCGACGACUCGAAGAGAACAAUAGUAUAGCGACAAGAAUAGCAGUGGCAUGGCAAUGUUUCGGGAGCAGCGUUAGCGGCACGUUGCGCUUAGCAUCGGUCAUACAAAUCAUGCAACAACUGCAAGAAGCGCAGCGACAUGGGGAUGAUCUGGGAUCACUGGUAGCGACGUGUUGCACUCAGUUGUGAUUUACAAAUUGGGCGGCAGUAACAACAAGGCACCUGGCUAUGUGUGCUCAUGGUUUAGCUGUGGCUAAGCGUGUUCGAUAGGCAAUACACAGUCGCGACUUGUCCGUGGCCAUCGAUUUCGGGUGGCAUGACAGUCCGGAAGGCGGUGCUCACCCCAACAUGUGGCUUGCUAACUCCUCUUGUGCGCUGUCAUGAUGUCACAAUUCUGUCUCACUGAUAGUGUGUGUAGCCAUGGUGGGUGGCCGGCGUGGCCUCCCAGCAGUCAUCNNNNNNNNNNNNNNNNNNNNNNNNNNNNNNNNNNNNNNNNNNNNNNNNNNNNNNNNNNNNNNNNNNNNNNNNNNNNNNNNNNNNNNNNNNNNNNNNNNNNNNNNNNNNNNNNNNNNNNNNNNNNNNNNNNNNNNNNNNNNNNNNNNNNNNNNNNNNNNNNNNNNNNNNNNNNNNNNNNNNNNNNNNNNNNNNNNNNNNNNNNNNNNNNNNNNNNNNNNNNNNNNNNNNNNNNNNNNNNNNNNNNNNNNNNNNNNNNNNNNNNNNNNNNNNNNNNNNNNNNNNNNNNNNNNNNNNNNNNNNNNNNNNNNNNNNNNNNNNNNNNNNNNNNNNNNNNNNNNNNNNNNNNNNNNNNNNNNNNNNNNNNNNNNNNNNNNNNNNNNNNNNNNNNNNNNNNNNNNNNNNNNNNNNNNGAUCUUGGCAGUACGGCAACAUCCAGCGACAGGUCCAGACGACUGACAUUUACGUCCGGUGAGGUGGUGUUCUGCUCGGUAACGCGGGUGUCAUGUGGUCUUGGGUUUCUGGCAAGGGUGGCGACAUGUGGUGGUUUUGUAUCCUACAGAUCUACCAUUGGCUACAACUAGUGAGGUUGAUGCAGUGCUACCAAAUCAUCCUUAUUUGGUAUUUUGGCGGUGGCGAUGACCUUCCUUCCUCACUAGUGAUUUCUUCGCAUCUCACGUGAGGACUGUGCAUGCAUGUACUGCUGAUAUUGUGGAAAAUGAAAGCGACAACACAAGAUGACUUUGAUAUGGUGGUGCUUCUCGAGUACCCAGUCUCAAGUUCCGGGGUGAAAACCCUAGGUCUGACCCUAGUUGGCCAUACUUGGAAAUGGCGAUGUUUUGAUUUCGUUACCUUCUUGCGGGCAUGGCUUGGAGUUUGCUCGGACUUGAUCUUUGGUGUGAAAACUCAUGAUCCGGCAUUCGAUGGUGAGACCGGCGGCGGCCGCGCUUGAGGGGUGUUCCCUUUCAGAAGGUGUUGCUACCAAAGAACCUUUCUUGGUGUCCUUGUGAUGUCAAGAGAUGAUAAAUCAUGUGGAUAGUCGUUGCCCUAGUUCACCCAUCACUGUAUUGAUCACCUGAGAGUUUUCUUUUCAUUCGCCUAGUCAUGGUUGAAGUCUUGGAUGACUUUGCUCUUUGCCAGCAUGAUUCUUUGUGUGUAUGUGUGUGUGUGCACGUGCGGGUGCGCGCAUUGAUGUUGAUUGUGUGCAUUUUUUUGAAAACCCCUUCCAUAUAUAUAUUAAUUAACUUAAAAUAUUCAUACAAUCAUCCGUUACAAAUUCAGCCACGCAGGGCGGAACACUAUUAAGGAGCACACCAUCGGAUCUAUUAUCAAAGCUGAACUUCGCAAUCUCGUGCGCCACCCUAUUAGCCCUUCUGUUAAUCUUGGAUACCUUGCAAUUUAUCAUCAGUUUGGAUAAACUCAAUGCUUCUAUCUUUAGAUCCACCAGAGGAGACCUGUCUAGAAGAUCAUUUCCAAGAAAAGAAGCCACAAAAGAACAAUCCGUUACUAAAAUGAUGGGCUUGUGGAGAGUAAUACCAAUGUACAGCCCCGCAAGGGUCGCUCUCAGUUCCGCUUCAUCCGCACUAUUGCACACCCCAAUAAACGAUAUGAUAACUUCUCCAGUAUGGUUCCUGGCCACAACAGCCACACUUGCAGCCCUUAAAGCCUCCACAUAACUUGCAUCAACAUUAAUCUUAAUGAACUUCGUAGCGGGAACCUGCCAAGUCACAAGAUUCUUUUGCAUAUCAUUAGUAAAAUUUAAGCCAUCCACCCUUUCUUUACCUUUGAGGCUAAUCUCCAUCUUGACAUUGGGAUGACAGGACGAGAAGGACGUCCGGUAAUUUUGAAUGAACCUCACCGAGUCAGAGAUUUUUUUCCUUUCCCUUACCAAAAAUCAAAUCAUUCCUCAGAUGCCAUGCCCUCCAAAAUAUGAAUAUAAUUUGCUCACGCAUCGGUGGCCUUACUUGAUCCAAUAAGACAAGUAACCAAUCCGGCCCCAUAAAAUUGAAAAACACUUCAUCUGGUAAAUUCAUACCUCCCUUACCGCCAAACGUAACGCACGAGCCUUAGGACAGCUUACCAGUGCAUGAAAUACAGAUUCAUCUUCUACGCUUCAAAUCAAGCACAGACCAAUGAUAGUUUGGUGGUGUUUAACUCUGUUAACUUGAACCGCCAAACUGUGUGUCGCAGCAUGCCAUGCAAAAAUUCUGAUUUUCUGAGGGACCUGAGCCUUCCAAAUAAUAUUCCAUAGCCUCCUUUCUCCAUUAGGCCUUGUAUAAUGGGAGGUGCUUAGAGAAAUAAACCAGGCUUUUCUUAAGCCCCGGUGCUUAUUUGUACAAGAUAGACGCUUAACUAAGCGUCUCUCCUGUAGAAAUAGACACCGGUGCUUCAGAAAAAUCCGGUUUAUUUUUCUAAGCAUCUCUCUAAGCACCUUCCAUUAUACAAGGCCUUAGCAGCACCACUUGAACUCCCUAACUCAAUCAUAGAGUCCUUAAGUUUGAGCGCCAAUUUAUACGCACUUUUAACUGAGAACAAACUAUUUUUCUCAUAGUGCCAAGCAACACCAACAGUCAGACCACGCAACUUCAAAAUUUCAUCAACGUCAUGUGAAAAGAACAGAUGCCGAAUAAGAUUCUCAUCCCAUCCUGCUGAGCCACCAAUGAAUAACUCAGAGACACAUUUGAUUGUGUGCAUUUUAGUCAUGCAGAAGUUUGGUGCGUGCUUAUUGUGUUUGUAUCAUCUACACUGUUCUGUCGGCUGACUCGGUCACUUCAUGUAGAGUCAACCUAAUGUGUUUCUUAUCCCUUCAACAAAAAACUCACCCAGAGAAACAUUCGUCCCUUGCACCAAGCUCAUCCCACUCAGUCAAACAAGGAAUUUGUUUGGUCCAUCCAUAAAAAGUACUACCUCCGUCCGGGUUUAUUGGUCCCCAUUGUAUUUUGUGCUAAAUUUUGAUCAUAGAUUAAACUAACAAAAUGUUCACGCAUGUCACCAAACAUUAUAUUUUUGAAAACUAUGUUCAAAUACGAAUCCAAUAAGAUAAUUUUUCUUGACAUGCAUUAACAUUUUGUUAGUUAAAUCUUUAGUGAAAAUUUAGCACAAACUACAAAGGAAACCUAUAAACCAGGACGGAGAUAGUAGUAGAUCAUUGGAUGGCCGCCCCGACCUACCAACCCCUUGCUCUCUGACCAAAACGGACCCUAGAUACAUUUCACAUCCUGAUUUAAUAAGAAAACGUGUACCAAGAUUUAUAUUUUACUGGCGCUGUCAUCUGCUUAUUUUGAUCUUUAGCAGCAAUCAUUACCUGCUCCGCGGAGUAAGUUCCCUCUUCCACGGCAAAUAUAUCGUUACCUAGCUAUCAUAUAUGCGUUCAAAUAAUGCUCCUCAGAAACUACAAGCACGUACGUACAACCAAAACAAACAACACACAAUGAUCGAUACAUAGUCAACAGACAAAUUCUUUGAGCGAGCUAACCCAGAUGCUGUCGUUGAAUUUUCUCAACGAUAAGUUGUGGUCAGAGAAGUGCAGCUGCUGCCGCAGCAUUUUGAUACUCUACUCCUACCUGAUGAGCGGAGUGUUUCUACUGGAUGGGCGUCGGAAUUCUGUUGCGAAAGCUGGUCUUCGGUCGUGGACUCGUUCUGUUACAUAAGCACGAGUAGACAAUGUUAUAGGAUGCGUGUUGCUGCACGUACCUAGUACUGUAGUGGUAGUAGUCUCAUGAUGUACUCCAUGCCUUUUCUUGAGGGGACAUGCGCAUGUGCAGCAUUUUGGUCUGCCAAACCUCCGGCGAUUGCGGUGCGGUCGGAUCCAAAACUCGUUAUUUGCUUCGAGCAACCAGCAUUGAAAUUCUUUUGACUAGAGUCUAUCUAUCUACUCUCUGUCUCUGGAGUAGGAGUACUUCUAAAUCCGUAAGCAUAAAGCUCCAGAACCAACCAGGCAUCCAUAUGUGCAGACAGUAGCAUCUAAGAAUUAGGCAGCAUUAGAAAUCUUCUCUAUCGAUCGAUCCUUUUGAGUAAAUAGCAUAAAACUACUACUUUACAGGCUAGAAUUUCAAAAAACUAUCAGUUUUAAAUUUUUCUCAUAUAACUACCAAGUGGGUGGUCGGCUGUUUCAAAAAACCCAAAUUCCGCGUUGCUAACGUUUUAAACCGAUUUAUGACAGGUCGGACCCACUCCUAAACAAUCCGUUAGUUGACCGUUUUGUUUGACCGUUAACUUAUUGUGGGACCCACGUGUAAGAUGUCUCUUCUUCCUUCUACCAUUUCUUCUCUCCUUGUCUCUUUCUUUCCCGUCCCCUCCUCCCGGCAAUGGCCCGACCACGGCCACCCUCACCACGCCCCGCGCCCAGAGCAAGGGUCGGCCGCCGCGAGCCGCCCCCAGGGGCAAAGGCCGCCGCGCCCAGGAGCAAGGGCCGGUCGCGCGAGCCGCCCCCAGGAGCAAAGGCCGCCGCGAGCCGCCGCGCCCAGGGGCAAGGGCCGGCCGCCNNNNNNNNNNNNNNNNNNNNNNNNNNNNNNNNNNNNNNNNNNNNNNNNNNNNNNNNNNNNNNNNNNNNNNNNNNNNNNNNNNNNNNNNNNNNNNNNNNNNNNNNNNNNNNNNNNNNNNNNNNNNNNNNNNNNNNNNNNNNNNNNNNNNNNNNNNNNNNNNNNNNNNNNNNNNNNNNNNNNNNNNNNNNNNNNNNNNNNNNNNNNNNNNNNNNNNNNNNNNNNNNNNNNNNNNNNNNNNNNNNNNNNNNNNNNNNNNNNNNNNNNNNNNNNNNNNNNNNNNNNNNNNNNNNNNNNNNNNNNNNNNNNNNNNNNNNNNNNNNNNNNNNNNNNNNNNNNNNNNNNNNNNNNNNNNNNNNNNNNNNNNNNNNNNNNNNNNNNNNNNNNNNNNNNNNNNNNNNNNNNNNNNNNNNNNNNNNNNNNNNNNNNNNNNNNNNNNNNNNNNNNNNNNNNNNNNNNNNNNNNNNNNNNNNNNNNNNNNNNNNNNNNNNNNNNNNNNNNNNNNNNNNNNNNNNNNNNNNNNNNNNCGCCCAGGAGCACAGGCUGCCGCGCGCCGCGCCCAGGAGAAGCGGCAGCGGCGGGCAAGGAGCUCCGCCUGGACCCAGCCCGUCGAGCCGCCUCCUUCCGCCUGGCCUGCAACCUGGCUCCACGCGUCGCCCGGGACGGAAGGGAGCUCCACGGCGGUGCCAUGGCUGCUGGCCGGCGACCCUCACGCCGGCUGCUGGCGCACGGCCACGAGGAGGGACCCGAUUGCUUUUUUCAAAAGUUUGCAGGGACCCGAUUGCGUUUUGAAAAGUUUGCAGGGACCUGAUGGCAUUUUUGAAAAAUUUACAGACACUGACAUGUGGGACCACAUGUCAGUUAACGGUCAAAUAGACGGAUCGUUUAGGUGCGGCCCGACCUGUCAUAAACCUAUUUAAUUUUUUAACAACGAAGAUUUUGGGUUUUUUGAAACAGCCGACCCCUAACUUGGUAGUUAUCUGAGAAAAUUUAAAAACCGGUAGUUUUUUGAAAUCCUAGCCUGUAAAGUAGUAGCUUUAUGCUAUUUACUCGAUCCUUUUAGAUCAUCUUUCUUGAGUCCAUUAAUAAAAGGUACAACUGUGAACACGGAACACUCAAAUCAACAGAUUAAGGCUCAAGCUAAUUAACUAACUGGGUGUAUGAUUGGUGCAUGCUGUGUGAACUGGGCCCAAAAGGUAUUAUACUCCACUUUGACUAAACAGAUUACUGUUAGGCGCAGAGUAGUACUAGGAAUAACGAAUAUUCAUGUCUGAUCCCAGGCUCAUCUGUUCAUGGUGAACAAUAAAAUACUUCCUCCGUUUCUUUUUACUCCGCGUAUAAAAUUUGGUCGAAAUCAAACUACACAAAGUUUGACCAAAUUCACAUCAAAAAAUAUCAACAUCUAUAAUACUAAAAUUAUAUGGUAUGAAAAUACAUUUCAUGGUGCAUCUGAUAAUAAUGAUUUCAUAUUGUGAAUGAUGAUAUGUUUUAAUAUAAAGUUAGUCAAACUUUAUAAAGCUUGACUUUGAUCAAACCUUAUAUGCACACUAAAAAGAAACGGAGGGAAUACUAUACGAUCUGUGGAUAGAUAUAAUUCAAGUCUUUUUCACAUGUAUGCUAUAGAAGAGUCUUGCUAUGCACACAAGGAAACUUGGACAAUGCACAGACGAUGGAUUAAAUCUUGCCAAACACGCGUUGAUUCACAAGGGAGUCGGCCGCUGGAUUUACGUGUCGUGCAUAGAUCGGCCACUUGUAUCGUGCACGGAGCAAUUUCGGCUAUAGAAUUUGCUGAUGCACGUCCGUACGUAUUUAUAUGCUGCCUUGAGGAGAGAAUUCACUUCGAAUUGUCCAUGAUAGCUAUAGAUAGAUAUAUGAAUGUUUCGACCAUGACCAUGCAUCAUGCAUCAUGCAUGCCACCAGUUUCUAAGGAUGAGCAUGGAUUGGGCCAAAUAGUACCGCCGGAGACCGGGUCCGUCUGUAUGUCCUCGAAACUUGAAAAAAAAAUGAGAAAAUUCAGCAGGAUGGUCGGAUCAUCAUCUCGUUCACGAUCAUGUACCGGUAGGCAGUAGCUACAUACCGAUCGAGACGUGGACUAACCUUGACAUUUGUUGGGUAGUGAAACGGUGAUGCAAAAAUUAAUUAAGAAAACCAUAAGCGUGCUAAUGUACUCUUCCUGUGCCAAAGUGCUGCCCAAAGUCCAUGUAAGUGUUACAAAAAAUGCUCUAGAUUUGACUCACAAUAAACACACAGUCGGUAGCGGAAGGCAGUCGGUAGUUUUCAGUAGCACAGGAAAGCAACACGAGGAGCCGGAGUCAUGCAUGCAAGCAUGAUUGCCAUGAUUCUUUACUUAACCGUCUCGAUAGCACAGUGUCGGCAAGCAGCUUUUCCACACCAAAAACUGUUCAUUUUUCACGAGCUACGACGUUGCAUAUGCUCUACCAGCUACACGGCCGGAGCGAUGUAGCACCUGCAGGUGUGAAACGCGUCACUCCAAUGCGCGCGCCCGUUUGGAUCAACUCUCAAAGUCCACCGGAGUAGGUGAAGACGAUGAUGCAAUCUAAUAAUAUGUGAUGGCAGACUAGUAGCUAGUAUAAUCAUGGCCGGCGGCGUGAGCUAGCCUUUUCCCCCCAUAAAUACCGGCCGCCCGGCGUUCCUCCACCAUACGCGCCGAGAACAACAUCCCGCCCCCGACGUCGGGGCUCGCAAACCUUACGUCCCUCUUCGCCGCGCAGGGGCUCUCCCAGAAAGACAUGGUCGCCCUCUCAGGUACUAGAACGUACUACAUGCAAAUGCACGUAUGACGUACCCAUUAACCGCCAAUUAAACAACAAAAAAUAUUGUAUAUUAACCUAUUAUUUACUGAGAUUUUCAGAAAAUAAAUUUACAACAUACCAUCGAUCUAUUUCUACUCCAACUGACCAUUAAUGUACUGUUCCAGUCCUAAUAACCAACAUAUAAGUAGUGAUCACGUAAUUUUCUUUUCCUGAAUCAAGGUAAAAUUCUUUGACUACUUUCACUGACUAUUAAUUUAUCAAUGGAGUAGUUGGUAACUUUGGGAGCUGCAAAAGAGCUGGGAUCAACCAACGGAACUGAUAGCCACGUUUUGACUCGAAAACUAAAAACUAUACUACUGAUAAUAUACUUUACAGGUCAUGAAUUAGAAAGUUGGUGACAAAUUACCAUUGACCUGAACCUCUAGAAAUUAUUGCUCUGUAAGGCUACUAUAGACACAACAACAACAAAAAAAGUUGAUCUGCUCCGUGAUCACUUAAAAUACGUAGAAGCGCCAAUUACGGAAGUUGGUGAAUGAUUGUUAACAAUGGAAAGAAAAAGAGUAAUCAUUUAACGGUAACCUGACCCAUCACUUGUUCCAGGAGCCCACACGAUCGGCCAAGCACGCUGCACAUUCUUCCGGGACCACAUCUACAACGACACAAACAUCGACUCCGGCUUCGCCAGGAGCCGCCAGUCAGACUGCCCUCGCACCGCCGGCUCCGGCGACAACAACCUGGCGCCACUGGACCUGCAGACCCCGACCAUGUUCGAGAACGACUACUACAAGAACCUCGUCCAGAAGAGGGGCAUCCUGCACUCGGACCAGGAGCUCUUCAACGGCGGCGCCGCCGACGCGCUGGUCCGGCAGUACGUCGGCAGCCAGAGCGCCUUCUUCAAGGACUUCGUGGUGGGGAUGAUCAAGAUGGGGGACAUCACGCCGCUGACGGGGUCCAGCGGACAGAUCAGGAAGAACUGCAGGAGGAUCAACUAAGAAAAGAUCCUCCACUUUCUGCGCAGACAGUUGUGAAAUCCCUAGAAAUGCAGCACAAUCCGUAGCAAUCCAGGAUGUGUUUGGUCGCGCCCAUGCUUGCAAGCAGCUUGUGGUUUCCUCUCGUUCGACUCUGUUUAUGCAAUUGUGAAAUCAAUGUACGUUGUGCCUGGUGGGUUAAUAAAAGGUCUACCCCGUCUCUAUAGUCAGAAAUUAUUGGUGAAAACUGAAAAGCCUGCAGCACGACGACAUGAUAACCUAAUUUUUUGCAACUGAAGAACCAUAUAGGCCA